ensembl:lincRNA
CCUCCUGUGAGGCCCUGCCAGGCAGUGGAGGGGACCCAGUAGGCAAGAACAAUUUCCAAGGGGAGUGUGGGUGGUUCCAGGUUUCACUUGGGCUCCACACAGGUAAAUCAGUGUUGGUCAAAUGAAUUUGGAGAAGCAAGGAGAAGUAACUGCCGGUGGCCCCAGGGUUUUGAACUAUUAGCCAGAGACAGAGUCUGCUAGACCCUACUCCAGUGAGGCAUGCUCUGAAGAUAGGCACAAGGCAUAUGCAUGCCUAUCUAGGAUUGCUCAAAAAUGAUGACUCAGCAAACAAAGACAGCAGUGUGAGUAAAUUGCUUGCUGUUCCACACACUGAAGUAGAAGGCAGAGGCUGAGUUGGGGAGUCUGAGAGCUGCCCAGUGACUUCAAUAGUGGCCAUCGCAGGAAUAGAAGACCAGAGUUUUCCCGGAGUGCAAAGUCCAACCCAGAAAGCAGCAGGAGCAAGGGGUUAGUUCCAGGAGCCCUCCCUGGGAUUUGGCUGACUGAGGGAGUCCAUACCAGAAGGAAGCUUUGUUUGUGUCAGCAUCUGUCUCAACAGGUUGGGUCAUCCUGCAGCCUCAGUGGUCACAGCAAGCCCCUUCUGCGUUCUUCCCAUCCACCCCACCUCCAUAGCACCCACCCUUCCAGCUCUUCUACAAGAAGGGAAUGGGAGGGAAAUGCCCUGGCUGGACCACUGUCCUAUUCCAGGAUUUGGUUCAUGCUGCCCGCCUGGGUCAGAAUCAUGUGGCACCAUGGGGCUAGGACCAGGCAUGCAGGAAGCCUUUCUGUUAUUCUUUGUUUAGGUCAAGCAAAGGAACACUCGUGGGUAAUUCGCAAAGUGUCUGUACUCCGAGGCCCACUGACUUCAGCCCUUCAGGAAAAAUGGAGAAGCUCCACAUUUUCCGAGGCACAGUCCACACAGCCAUUCUUUUCUCUGCUGUAGAGACCCUCUCCUCUGCAGCUUGUAUAGUGGCUGAGAGAAGAGCUUAGGC